AUUGAACGCUGGCGGCAGGCCUAACACAUGCAAGUCGAGCGGUAGCACAGAGAGCUUGCUCUCGGGUGACGAGCGGCGGACGGGUGAGUAAUGUCUGGGAAACUGCCUGAUGGAGGGGGAUAACUACUGGAAGCGGUAGCUAAUACCGCAUAACGUCGCAAGACCAAAGAGGGGGACCUUCGGGCCUCUUGCCAUCAGAUGUGCCCAGAUGGGAUUAGCUAGUAGGUGGGGUAACGGCUCACCUAGGAGACGAUCCCUAGCUGGUCUGAGAGGAUGACCAGCCACACUGGAACUGAGACACGGUCCAGACUCCUACGGGAGGCAGCAGUGGGGAAUAUUGCACAAUGGGCGCAAGCCUGAUGCAGCCAUGCCGCGUGUAUGAAGAAGGCCUUCGGGUUGUAAAGUACUUUCAGCGGGGAGGAAGGUGUUGAGGUUAAUAACCUCAGCAAUUGACGUUACCCGCAGAAGAAGCACCGGCUAACUCCGUGCCAGCAGCCGCCGUAACAC
rnacentral:rRNA from 1 species